GCAGCUAUACGAAAGCACUGUGGCAGGAUGGAGAGCCUGGUGUAUUGGAGGAGUGGAGUUGGGUCCUGCUUUUGAAGCAGAAGUGAGGAGGAGAGAAGGGUGGCAAGGAAGGCAGUGUAACCCACCCACCCAUUUAUUUAUUAUUCCAGGGAACACUCUAGAACUUCCUCCCUAAUCUGUAUCUGUACUUGUUUUGUGUCUGUGGGCUCCAAAGAAACCUCAAUCUUGGGCCUUUGCCCUCUAUGGCCAUCAAGUUAGGAACAGGGUCUAAGUAGGGGAGACAGACGUCUAGGUUUGGCCUGGAAGUUCACGUGCACUGGAGGUGGGGCUCCAGGGGAUGGGUAAGAGUUCAACAUUCCCAGUUGCCCACAUUCACCACCCACUCAGUUCAGCAAGUGCUUGAUGAGGAGAGAAGCGAGUUCCAGCCUCCCGAUCCUUACAGCCAUUUCUGGGAGCCAGCCGCCUCUCCAGCACACUUCCGAAAGCACGCCUUUUCCCUCCCCGAUGCUCUCACUGCCCCACUGGAUAGAGCAGUUUGUCCUCUGCACUUGGCCUCUGACACACAAACUCUGGGCAUUUGUCACCAGCAACAAUGCAGUAGUCACUGUGUGGCCUCUAACCCUGUCAUCUCCUGCCACAGCCUCUCCUCCCCUUACCUCAGUGUCUCUGCCUGUCUACUGGGGUCUUGUAAAAAGACAUUGUUGUUACAAGGCCCUGACUUACACUUACCCAGGAAUGGGAAUGCUGAGAGAACAUUCUAGGUGUUAACUUUGACUCCGCAAAGAAAAACAAACUGAACGUUCUAAAAAUUUAGCCCAGUGACAUCUUGGUGGUGCAAACCUUUAAUCCCAGCAUUUGGGAGGCAGAGGCAGGCAGAUUCCUGUGAGGUCAGCUUUAUCAAAGAGAGAUCAUGACCCCUGUUACUCCCAAAAAAGACAGGUAAGAGAAUAUAUAGGAAAAAAUAUAUCUCAGUGUGCUGUGUAGGGUGACAUUAAUUGUCCCAUUUGCCCACAUUCACCACCCACACAGUUCAGUAAGUAUCUGUAAAGGGAGCCUUUAAUUGAAAGAUUAAUAACUGACAACAUGCAAAUAUAAAACACCUACACACAAACACUUCACACAUGAAAACUGCAACAAAGCCAUUGAAAAUUUCCAAUAGUCAAAAUAGACAAAAAAGACUGACUUCCACCGUACGUAAAAAGCUUCUGGAAACCAACAAUAAGAUAGAAAAAUGGAUAGACAACUUAACAGGUUUAUGAAAAAUGGUACAUCCUUCAUGUAAAACUAAAAAUGGAAACCGAGGGUGGGCAUUUGACAAGGAAAGGCCUCCCCUGACCACGCUCCCUGCCCUUACUGGAGAAUUUUAGGCAGGGCUCUAUCCCUGGUCACAUCCCAGCCCCUCAAUGGGAAGAUUUUAGGCGGGGCUCUACCAGGGAGCCUCACCCCCAGCCUCCAUGAAAUUCUUUUUGUUUUGGAGACAAGGUUUCUUUGUGUAGCCCUGGCUGACCUGGAACUCUGUCGACCAAACUGGUCUCAAACUCAAAGAGUUCUGCCUGCCUCGGCCUCCUGAGUGCUGGGAUUGAAGGCAUGCAUUAUCACCUCCUGGAUAAUGUUCUUGUAAAUGUAAAAAAGAAAAGCUUGGUGUUUCACAGGCUGAGACUAGAAUACAAUAAAAUGGUUACCAAAUAGUCUGUUUUUAUACUUCUCUGCUGGAGAACGAUGGACAGGAUCCUGCGCAGUGGUUCUGUGGCAACACACAUUUUUUUCUAAAGAUUUAUUUAUUUUAUGUAUAGGAGUACACUGUAGCUAUACAGAUGGUUGUGACAGAUGCUUGUGCCAUCAUGUGAUUGCUGGGAAUUGAACUCAGCACCUCUGCUUGCUCUGGCCCCGCUCGUUGUGGCCCAAAGAUUCAUUUAUUAUCAUACACUGUAGCUGUCUUUAGGCACACCAGAUUUCAUUACAGAUGGUUGUGAGCCACCAUGUGGUUGCUGGGAUUUGAACUCAGAUCCUUCAGAAGAGCAGUCAGUGCUCUUACCCACUGAGCCAUCUCACCAGCCUGACACACAUUUUUGAUCCCAGCACUCAAGAGGCCAAAGUAGGAAAAUUACAAGAUUCAGGGCAGGAUCUCUUCCCCCUUCAAAGAUGUUUCAUUUGAGGAAGAACAAUCAGUCUUAGUCGGGCAGUGGUGGCACACUUUAAUACCUCUGGGAGGCAGAGCACUACUAAGCCCAGCUGGCCUCAAAAUUUGUGAUGUAGCCAAGGAUGGAUAGCAACUCCCGAUUCAGCCCAAACUGUAGCCUGGUCCCAGGAGUCUCUGGAUACCAGUGAAGAUCCCAUGCCAGCUGCUACUGAAGUCCCAGGGACUAGCUAGGCAGAGAUGGAUCCUGCUGAAGGUCCUGUGGAGAAUCCUUUAGCAGUGUGGCUCUUGGGUGCCACCUGGUGGUGAUGUGAGAAACCGGGGGCUCCCCCUACGACACUGAAUAACCUGCAGGCCCCCUCCUCUCUUACUUUUGCAUUUGAUAUUGAGGAUAGUUUUGUCACACAGUUCCAACCCCAGCCCCAGCUGUGUUGAGACAGGGUUUUCCUAUGGAUCCCAGGUCAGGUCUUCAGGGUACAGAUUCUGCUCAUCAAAGGGCCUGUGAGCUCACCUUCCCUCCUCCCUGCUGGGUCCCUGACAGUGACAUUAAGGUUUGAAUUUCCUAGCAAUUUCCACAGAGACACUGGAAACCCUUCAGUGUCUCCCCUCCAGGCCUGAAGCCUGCUGUGGGUACCUGGAGCCUUCAGGCCAGAAUCUGCACCUGUCUUGCAGAUUUCUGCCCACUACAUCCCUCCAGUCCUCUCUCCUUGGGAUUCCUAUAUAUAUAGGAAUAUAUAUAUAUGCUGUUGCAGCUGGUUCUCUCUAGGAGUACAAGUCACUUACAUGUCCCCAAGUGAACAAGAAGCAUUUGGAAGUGAAUGACAGAAAAGUGGGAACCAGAGGUGAGCACUUGGGCCUGGGUUUCCCUUUCUCAGGAAACUCCAGCUCAGGACAGGGCUCCCUUCCUGCUCUCUCUGGUGACCCAAGGAUAAGACACUGGAGACACCAUGAAAGCCACUCUACUGGUUUUAUUCCAGAGGACUCUAAAUGCUCACUUAUGCCUGGGAAAAUGACCAGUGCCUGCUAGGAGUCUGCUACAAAGCUCAUGUCAUUUCGUUGGCACCAAGUGGGUGUGAUGGGUCUAGACGAGAUAAGACACUUUUGGUGGCUUUAGCACUUAAUGCCACCAUAGGGAGCGGUGCCCCAAGGGCUAGAGACAAGGGCCUUAUUUUCAAGAUUGCUAACAUGACAUUACAGAUGACAGCUGCACCAGAACCCAGCCCAUGAACACUUUAACAAGGAGACAGGAGCUACAUGCAAGAGCCAUUGUUACUUGGGCAAGGUGAGUUGCACAAUUCAAGCUGGCCUGGAACCAACAUCCCUCCUGUCUUUCCAAAUGAUGGUGUCUGGUGUCAUGGGUUAAGAGCUGCUUCAUGCUAA
rnacentral:lncRNA from 1 species